CGUAGGAGACGAGCGUUAUCCGGAUUUACUGGGCGUAAAGCGUGUGCAGGCGGUUCGGCAAGUUGGAUGUGAAAUCUCCCGGCUCAACUGGGAGGGGUCGUUCAAUACUACCGAACUUGAGGUCAUCAGAGGAAGGUGGAAUUCCGGGUGUAGUGGUGAAAUGCGUAGAUAUCCGGAGGAACACCAGUGGCGAAGGCGGCCUUCUGGGAUGAUCCUGACGCUCAGACACGAAAGCUAGGGGGAGCGAACGGGAUUAGAGACCCCGGUAGUCCUAGCUGUAAACGAUGUAGACUUGGCGUCGGAGGGUUCAAAACCUUCGGUGUCGUAGCUAACGCGAUAAGUCUACCGCCUGGGGACUACGGCCGCAAGGUUA
rnacentral:rRNA from 1 species